GGGUGGUUCAAGAACAGCCAAAUUUACAAUGCUAACACAAGAUGCACACAAACUGACAACCCAGCUGUGAGUUCAGGGAUUGCUGUUUCUUGAAGGAGCUUGUGUAUGCAAAGAGAGAAGCAGGAUAGGAAAGAAACUUUACUAUGUUAUAUAUUGCUCUAACAUAUUGGAAAAAAUCAACCUAGAAUUAGCUGUCUGCCCAACAAGGACUUCAGUGUACCUCAAAGGACUUCACUGUACGUCAGUACCUCACAGGUACAGACUGGGACCUGAGCGGCUGGGAAACAGCUUCUCUUCCUCUUCUCUUCCUCUCCUCUUCUCAGCUCUAGUCCUAGCUCUGUUCUAUUCUGUUCUGACUGGGAUUCUUGCGCUGGUUUCUGGUGGUGUUUUGACUACAGCAAAUACAGUCACACCCUGAUUAGCUACAACCAUCACUCGCUAUGGACCAAUCUGUUCUUGAGGAGGGCAAGGGAGACUGGACAGAUCUUGCAAGACAUCCACUGCAUCUCCUCCAAGCCACAGAGCAUGAGCACCCUCGCUAGGAAUCCCUGUGGUGACACCAGUCGGACCAGACUCGGAGACCUAGACAGCCCUCUCCAGAACUAAGUUCACAAGGCAAAUGUCCACGGAGAGCCCCACACAGAGGACAGAGCCUCAGAAGGAGGGGACUCAGAGGGAUCCUGAGUGCUCUUCACCCCACCGCAAACAUCUCACCCACUUCUCAGCUACUGAGAUGUUUCUGCAAGGUGAGCAGCUGUCUCACACAGCCUGCCUGUGAACAGGAAACUCAACUGAAAACAUUUGAGGAAAUUACUGCAGCCCUUUCCAUGACUACAAGUGCAAAAAAAUGCUGUUCUGUGCUGAAGCAGAUAUGAAAUGUUUCAUCCAACCAUUCAUUCCUCAUAGCUUUUGGGAGCCAUGAAAAAUUAUGAGAAAAUCACCACCAGAAUACGAGGGCAAUUACCAACUCCAAGACAUCCAGACAGAGCGUGGGACCGUGAAACACCCAGAUCCAGCCCAGGAUACCUCCAUCAGCUGGUCAUGAUAGGAGACGGUAAUCACCAGCUAUGUCAGCAAGCAGAGAGGGAAGGACAGCCUGGAGAGCACGCUCCCUCAGCAGUGGCCCCGAGCUUCUAAUAGCUGCACAGAUGUGGUGUUGCUAUUGCCCACAUCAUCUGAGCUCAUGACCAAAGCAAUGCUCUUGUAUAAUAAACAACUUUUCACUACAG